rnacentral:rRNA from 1 species
CAGAGGUUACUGCUAUCGAGAUUCGACUAAGCCAUGCGAGUUGAAUGUUCUUCGUGAACAUGGCGGACUGCUCAGUAACACGUGGACAACCUACCCUUGGGUCCGGCAUAAUCCUGGGAAACUGGGAAUAAUUCCGGAUAGGUCACCGAUGCUGGAAUGCGCGGUGGCCGAAAGCUCCGGCGCCCGAGGAUGGGUCUGCGGCCUAUCAGGGUUGUAGUGGGUGUAACGUACCUACUAGCCUACGACGGGUACGGGUUGUGAGAGCAAGAGCCCGGAGAUGGAUUCUGAGACACGAAUCCAGGCCCUACGGGGUGCAGCAGGCGCGAAAACUUUACAAUGCGGGAAACCGUGAUAAGGGGAUCUCGAGUGCCAGCAUAUAAUGUUGGCUGUCCAGAUGCCUAAAAAGCAUCUGUUAGCAAGGGCCGGGCAAGACCGGUGCCAGCCGCCGCGGUAACACCGGCGGCCCGAGUGGUAACCGCUAUUAUUGGGUCUAAAGGGUCUGUAGCCGGCCAGGUAAGUCCCUUGGGAAAUCUGGCAGCUCAACUGUCAGGCUGCUAGGGGAUACUGUUUGGCUUGGGACCGGGAGAGGUGAGAGGUACCUUGGGGGUAGGGGUGAAAUCUUGUGAUCCUCGAGGGACCACCAGUGGCGAAGGCGUCUCACCAGAACGGGUCCGACGGUAAGGGACGAAAGCUAGGGGCACGAACCGGAUUAGAUACCCGGGUAGUCCUAGCCGUAAACGAUGCUCGCUAGGUGUCAGUCACGGUGCGACCGUGAUUGGUGCCGUAGGGAAGCCGUGAAGCGAGCCACCUGGGAAGUAUGGCCGCAAGGCUGAAACUUAAAGGAAUUGGCGGGGGAGCACUACUWWCSGGUGGAGCCUGCGGUUUAGUG